rnacentral:ncRNA from 1 species
UUUAAGCAUAUUAAUUAGGGGAGGAAAAGAAACUAACCAGGAUUUUCUUAGUAGCGGCGAGCGAAAAGAAAUCAGUUCAGCACUAAGUCACUUUGUCUAUAUGGCAAACGUGAGAUGCAGUGUAUGGAGCGUCAAUAUUCUAGUAUGAGAAAUUAACGAUUUAAGUCCUUCUUAAAUGAGGCCAUUUACCCAUAGAGGGUGCCAGCCCCGUAUAACGUUAAUGAUUACUAGAUGAUGUUUCCAAAGAGUCGUGUUGCUUGAUAGUGCAGCACUAAGUGGGUGGUAAACUCCAUCUAAAACUAAAUAUAACCAUGAGACCGAUAGUAAACAAGUACCGUGAGGGAAAGUUGAAAAGAACUCUGAAUAGAGAGUUAAACAGUACGUGAAACUGCUUAGAGGUUAAGCUCGAUGAACCUGAAUAUCCGUUAUGGAAAAUUCAUCAUUAAAGUUGUAAUAUUUUAACAAUAUUAUAAUAAUAGUGUGCAUUUUUUCCAUAUAAGGACAUUGUAAUCUAUUAGCAUAUAACAAAUUUAUCAUAAAAUAUGACUUAUAGUUUAUUCAAACUAUUAUGCUUGCAUUUUAACAUAGAAUAAAUGUCAUUAAUUUGAUAAAGUGUUGAUAAAUUAAAAUUAAUACAGUGCGUUAAUUUUUCGAAAUUAUAUAAUGGCAUAAUUAUCAUUGAUUUUUGUGUUUAUUAUAUGCAUUUGUAUGAUUAACAAUGCGAAAGAUUCAGGAUACCUUCGGGACCCGUUUUGAAACACGGACCAAGGAGUCUAACAUAUGUAUGUGCAAGUUAUUGGGAGAUAAACCUAAUAGCGUAAUUAACUUGACUAAUAAUGGGACUAGUUUUUUAACUAUUUAUAGAUAAUUAACACAAUCCCGGGGCGUUCUAUAUAGUUAUUUAUAAUAAUAUUUAUAUUAUUUAUGCCUCUAACUGGAACGUACCUUGAGCAUAUAUGCUGUGACCCGAAAGAUGGUGAACUAUACUUGAUCAGGUUGAAGUCAGGGGAAACCCUGAUGGAAGACCGAAACAGUUCUGACGUGCAAAUCGAUUGUCAGAAUUGAGUAUAGGGGCGAAAGACCAAUCGAACCAUCUAGUAGCUGGUUCCUUCCGAAGUUUCCCUGGUGCUGGUGCAUUUUAAUGUUAUAUAAAUUAAUCUUAUCUGGUAAAGCGAAUGAUUAGAGGCCUUAGGGUCGAAACGAUCUUAAACUAUUCUCAAACUUUAAGUGGGUAAAA